UACAGAGGUCUCAAGCGUUGUUCGGAUUCAUUGGGCGUAAAGGGUGCGUAGGCGGUGAGGUAAGUCGGAUGUGAAAUCCCGGGGCUCAACCCCGGAACUGCAUUCGAUACUGCCUUGCUUGAGCACUGGAGAGGAGACUGGAAUUUACGGUGUAGCAGUGAAAUGCGUAGAUAUCGUAAGGAGGACCAGUGGCGAAGGCGAGUCUCUGGACAGUUGCUGACGCUGAGGCACGAAGGCCAGGGGAGCAAACGGG
rnacentral:rRNA from 1 species